rnacentral:rRNA from 1 species
UACGGAGGAUCCAAGCGUUAUCCGGAUUUAUUGGGUUUAAAGGGUGCGAAGGCGGAAUUUCUAGUCAGUGGUGAAAUCUUACGGCUCAACUGUAAAACUGCCAUUGAUACUGUUAUUCUUGAGUAUAUUUGAAGUGGCUGGAAUGUAUCAUGUAGCGGUGAAAUGCUUAGAUAUGAUACAGAACACCGAUUGCGAAGGCAGGUCACUAAACUAUAACUGACGCUCAUGCACGAAAGCGUGGGGAUCAAACAGGAUUAGAUACCCUGGUAGUCCACGCCCUAAACGAUGAUUACUCGAUGUUGGCGAUAUACUGUCAGCGUCUAAGCGAAAGCAUUAAGUAAUCCACCUGGGGAGUACGAUCGCAAGGUUG